GCACACCGCGUGAGUGAGAGGGUUUCGGCUCGUAAAGCUCUGUUGUUAAAGAAGAACACGUAUGAAAGUAACUGUUCAUACGUUGACGGUAUUUAACCAGAAAGUCACGGCUAACUACGUGCCAGCAGCCGCGGUAAUACGUAGGUGGCAAGCGUUAUCCGGAUUUAUUGGGCGUAAAGAGAGUGCAGGCGGUUUUCUAAGUCUGAUGUGAAAGCCUUCGGCUUAACC
rnacentral:rRNA from 1 species